rnacentral:tRNA from 1 species
GUGGGCGUAGCUCAGCUGGUUAGAGCACCGGACUGUGACUCCGGGUGUCGGGGGUUCAAAUCCCCUCGUCCACCCCA